GCCUACAUAGCAUAGUUGGUUAUUGCGCCUGCCUAGUAAGCAGGAGGUCGUGAGUUCGAAUCUCACUAUAGGCU